AAUACAUGCUAAAAAACCCGACUUUAGAAGGGUUGUAUUUAUUAGAUUAAAAGCUAAUGCCCUCUGGGCUCAUUGGUGAUUCAUGAUAACUUUGCGAAUCGCAUGGCCUUGUGCCGGCGAUGGCUCAUUCAAAUUUCUUCCCUAUCAACUUUCGAUGUUUGGGUAGUGGCCAAACAUGGUUGCAACGGGUAACGGAGGGUUAGGGCUUGACCCCGGAGAAGGAGCCUGAGAAACGGCUACUACAUCCAAGGAAGGCAGCAGGCGCGCAAAUUACCCAAUCCCGAUACGGGGAGGUAGUGACAAUAAAUACUGAUACAGGGCUCUUUUGGGUCUUGUAAUUGGAAUGAGUACAAUUUAAAUCCCUUAACGAGGAACAAUUAGAGGGCAAGUCUGGUGCCAGCAGCCGCGGUAAUUCCAGCUCUAAUAGCGUAUAUAAAAGUUGUUGUGGUUAAAAAGCUCGUAGUUGAACCUUGGGCCUGGCUGGCGGGUCCGCCUCACCGCGUGUACUUCGCCGGCCGGGCCUUUCCCUCUGUGGAACCCUAUGCCCUUUACUGGGUGUAGCGGGGAAACAGGACUUUUACUUUGAAAAAAUUAGAGUGCUCUAAGCAGGCCUAUGCUCGAAUACAUUAGCAUGGAAUAAUAAAAUAGGACGUGUGGUUCUAUUUUGUUGGUUUCUAGGACCGCCGUAAUGAUUAAUAGGGACAGUCGGGGGCAUCAGUAUUCAAUUGUCAGAGGUGAAAUUCUUGGAUUUAUUGAAGACUAACUACUGCGAAAGCAUUUGCCAAGGAUGUUUUCAUUAAUCAGGAACGAAAGUUAGGGGAUCGAAGACGAUCAGAUACCGUCGUAGUCUUAACCAUAAACUAUGCCGACUAGGGAUCAGACGAUGUUAUUACUUGACUCGUUUGGCACCUUACGAGAAAUCAAAGUGCUUGGGCUCCAGGGGGAGUAUGGUCGCAAGGCUGAAACUUAA
rnacentral:rRNA from 1 species